rnacentral:rRNA from 2 species
UGGGUAGGGGAGCGUUCUGUAAGCCUGUGAAGGUGGCCUGUGAGGGUUGCUGGAGGUAUCAGAAGUGCGAAUGCUGACAUAAGUAACGAUAAAGCGGGUGAAAAGCCCGCUCGCCGGAAGACCAAGGGUUCCUGUCCAACGUUAAUCGGGGCAGGGUGAGUCGACCCCUAAGGCGAGGCCGAAAGGCGUAGUCGAUGGGAAACGGGUUAAUAUUCCCGUACUUGGUGUUACUGCGAAGGGGGGACGGAGAAGGCUAUGUUGGCCGGGCGACGGUUGUCCCGGUUUAAGCGUGUAGGUGUGUGUUCCAGGUAAAUCCGGUUCACUUUAACACUGAGGCGUGACGACGAGGCACUACGGUGCUGAAGCAACAAAUGCCCUGCUUCCAGGAAAAGCCUCUAAGCAUCAGGUAACAUCAAAUCGUACCCCAAACCGACACAGGUGGUCAGGUAGAGAAUACCAAGGCGCUUGAGAGAACUCGGGUGAAGGAACUAGGCAAAAUGGUGCCGUAACUUCGGGAGAAGGCACGCUGACACGUAGGUGAAGUGAUUUACUCAUGGAGCUGAAGUCAGUCGAAGAUACCAGCUGGCUGCAACUGUUUAUUAAAAACACAGCACUGUGCAAACACGAAAGUGGACGUAUACGGUGUGACGCCUGCCCGGUGCCGGAAGGUUAAUUGAUGGGGUCAGCGCAAGCGAAGCUCCUGAUCGAAGCCCCGGUAAACGGCGGCCGUAACUAUAACGGUCCUAAGGUAGCGAAAUUCCUUGUCGGGUAAGUUCCGACCUGCACGAAUGGCGUAAUGAUGGCCAGGCUGUCUCCACCCGAGACUCAGUGAAAUUGAACUCGCUGUGAAGAUGCAGUGUACCCGCGGCAAGACGGAAAGACCCCGUGAACCUUUACUAUAGCUUGACACUGAACAUUGAGCCUUGAUGUGUAGGAUAGGUGGGAGGCUUUGAAGUGUGGACGCCAGUCUGCAUGGAGCCGACCUUGAAAUACCACCCUUUAAUGUUUGAUGUUCUAACGUGGACCCGUUACCCGGGUUGCGGACAGUGUCUGGUGGGUAGUUUGACUGGGGCGGUCUCCUCCUAAAGAGUAACGGAGGAGCACGAAGGUUGGCUAAUCCUGGUCGGACAUCAGGAGGUUAGUGCAAUGGCAUAAGCCAGCUUGACUGCGAGCGUGACGGCGCGAGCAGGUGCGAAAGCAGGUCAUAGUGAUCCGGUGGUUCUGAAUGGAAGGGCCAUCGCUCAACGGAUAAAAGGUACUCCGGGGAUAACAGGCUGAUACCGCCCAAGAGUUCAUAUCGACGGCGGUGUUUGGCACCUCGAUGUCGGCUCAUCACAUCCUGGGGCUGAAGUAGGUCCCAAGGGUAUGGCUGUUCGCCAUUUAAAGUGGUACGCGAGCUGGGUUUAGAACGUCGUGAGACAGUUCGGUCCCUAUCUGCCGUGGGCGCUGGAGAACUGAGGGGGGCUGCUCCUAGUACGAGAGGACCGGAGUGGACGCAUCACUGGUGUUCGGGUUGUCAUGCCAAUGGCACUGCCCGGUAGCUAAAUGCGGAAGAGAUAAGUGCUGAAAGCAUCUAAGCACGAAACUUGCCCCGAGAUGAGUUCU